rnacentral:rRNA from 1 species
AGAGUUUGAUCCUGGCUCAGAUUGAACGCUGGCGGCAGGCUUAACACAUGCAAGUCGAGCGGAGAUGAGGUGCUUGCACCUUAUCUUAGCGGCGGACGGGUGAGUAAUGCUUAGGAAUCUGCCUAUUAGUGGGGGACAACAUUCCGAAAGGAAUGCUAAUACCGCAUACGUCCUACGGGAGAAAGCAGGGGAUCUUCGGACCUUGCGCUAAUAGAUGAGCCUAAGUCGGAUUAGCUAGUUGGUGGGGUAAAGGCCUACCAAGGCGACGAUCUGUAGCGGGUCUGAGAGGAUGAUCCGCCACACUGGGACUGAGACACGGCCCAGACUCCUACGGGAGGCAGCAGUGGGGAAUAUUGGACAAUGGGGGGAACCCUGAUCCAGCCAUGCCGCGUGUGUGAAGAAGGCCUUAUGGUUGUAAAGCACUUUAAGCGAGGAGGAGGCUACUGAGACUAAUACUCUUGGAUAGUGGACGUUACUCGCAGAAUAAGCACCGGCUAACUCUGUGCCAGCAGCCGCGGUAAUACAGAGGGUGCGAGCGUUAACCGGAUUUACUGGGCGUAAAGCGUGCGUAGGCGGCUUUUUAAGUCGGAUGUGAAAUCCCCGAGCUUAACUUGGGAAUUGCAUUCGAUACUGGGAAGCUAGAGUAUGGGAGAGGAUGGUAGAAUUCCAGGUGUAGCGGUGAAAUGCGUAGAGAUCUGGAG